UACAGAGGGUGCGAGCGUUAAUCGGAAUUACUGGGCGUAAAGCGUGCGUAGACGGCUAUCUAAGUCGGGUGUGAAAGCCCCGGGCUCAACCUGGGAAUUGCAUUCGAGACUGAAUAGCUAGGGUGCGGUAGAGGGAAGCGGAAUUUCCGGUGUAGCGGUGAAAUGCGUAGAGUAUCAGGAAGAACACCCGUGGCGAAGGCGGUCUCUGGGACGGUACUGACGCUGAGACGCGAAAGCGUGGGGAGCGAACAGG
rnacentral:rRNA from 1 species